GCCCCUCAGGGGGCCGCACGGGCCGGGGGAUGCACGCUCUGGAGGUGAGGACCGGGCAGGACGGCCUGGCCUCGAGGCGAGAUGGCCGCACGGUCUCUAGUGGGCCGCGACCCGCAAGGCUCGCAGAGUCGCAGGUGGUGACGCGCGGUCGGGGGCCCGGUCGCAGGGGACACACAGCUGGGGGCGCGAUGGCGCUGGACGGCCGAAGGUCUGGUUGAGAACUUGAACCCGCCUGAAGCGGAGGCCUGAGAAAAUGCAGGCCCGCUGAAGCCCGCCCGCCGGCCCUGAGCCCUGAAAGCCUCCCGCAGUUUCCCCUGACCCCGCGGCCGCUCUGCGCCUUUUCCGAUUUCUUGCUGGUUGAAUACCUCCCUCUCCACUCCCAACUUCAGGGCAGAGGUCUAGAGCUGCUCCUGGCUCUUGUACUCUACUUUGACCCAAUGAGAGCCUCAUUUCUCUUCCAAGGCACAACUAACCAAAACAUCACUGUGCAUGAUUAUCAACCAGGGAGAAAAAGGACUCAGGGAAAUGAAGAGGGCCCAUGGCCAAGCCUCUAGAACACAUGCAUUUGAAGACAAGAUGAAGGAAAAACUGCGAACAGCCAGAGAGGAAUAAUGAAUACUGAAAGACAAUUACAAGAAAUAAGCUAAGGAAAGAGAAUAUCCCAGGAAGAGAAGUGAGACAGCCAGGUGGAAAGGGGUCCCCAGAGAAACUCCAACCAGCCUGUGCACUGGGAGGAGCGUACACUGGGGUGGAGCCACACAAGUUCAGCAAUUUGCAGUGGGGAGGAGCCUGGCCCCUCCUCUUCCUGAGUGGACCCUGGAAGUGAAUCUGCGAGGCGGGAAGCACACUAGCGGGCGCUCUGGCUUUGUGGAGGGUCCCUGUUUCCCAGUUUUUUUCCUUUUUGUCCAAUAAAUUCCAUUUUUCUCCCCCUUCAAA